UACGUAGGGUGCAAGCGUUAAUCGGAAUUACUGGGCGUAAAGCGUGCGCAGGCGGUUAUGCAAGUCAGAUGUGAAAUCCCCGGGCUUAACCUGGGAACUGCAUUUGUGACUGCAUAGCUGGAGUACGGCAGAGGGGGAUGGAAUUCCGCGUGUAGCAGUGAAAUGCGUAGAUAUGCGGAGGAACACCGAUGGCGAAGGCAGUCCCCUGGGCCUGUACUGACGCUCAUGCACGAAAGCGUGGGGAGCAAACAGG
rnacentral:rRNA from 1 species